CUGCAGGUCGUCCAGACGAUCGAGCAAAUCAGCCGCCUGCCAUGAAAACUCCUCCACCGCCAGCCGGGUUUCCAACCAGUUUGAGUGAUCGUAGCUGAGCGUGCCUUCGAGAUCGGAGCGGGCGCGGUCGAUUACUGCCGUGAGAAAUCGCCCAAGAAGAAAGAAACAACUACAAAGCAGAUGAUGCAGAAACAAUUCCUAGAUUUCCCACAGAACCUAUCGAUAACUUACACUUCCCCGGCCCAGUUGUUAAAUAAAUGUAUCGUAUUUCAA